UACAGAGGGUGCAAGCGUUGUUCGGAAUUACUGGGCGUAAAGGGCGCGUAGGCGGCCAAGCAAGUCAGAUGUGAAAUCCCAGGGCUCAACCCUGGACGUGCAUUUGAAACUGCUUGGCUAGAGUACAGUAGAGGUUGGUGGAAUACCCAGUGUAGAGGUGAAAUGCGCAGAUAUCGGGAAGAACACCCGUGGCGAAGGCGGCUCUCUGGAACGCAACUGACGCUGAGACGCGAAAGCGUGGGGAGCAAACAGG
rnacentral:rRNA from 1 species